rnacentral:rRNA from 1 species
AUUGAACGCUGGCGGCAGGCCUAACACAUGCAAGUCGAGCGGAUGAAGGGAGCUUGCUCCUGGAUUCAGCGGCGGACGGGUGAGUAAUGCCUAGGAAUCUGCCUGGUAGUGGGGGAUAACGUCCGGAAACGGGCGCUAAUACCGCAUACGUCCUGAGGGGGAAAGGGGGGGAUCUUCGGACCUCACGCUAUCAGAUGAGCCUAGGUCGGAUUAGCUAGUUGGUGGGGUAAAGGCCUACCAAGGCGACGAUCCGUAACUGGUCUGAGAGGAUGAUCAGUCACACUGGAACUGAGACACGGUCCAGACUCCUACGGGAGGCAGCAGUGGGGAAUAUUGGACAAUGGGCGAAAGCCUGAUCCAGCCAUGCCGCGUGUGUGAAGAAGGUCUUCGGAUUGUAAAGCACUUUAAGUUGGGAGGAAGGGCAGUAAGUUAAUACCUUGCUGUUUUGACGUUACCAACAGAAUAAGCACCGGCUAACUUCGUG